AUGAAACGAGCAUGUGCAAGAGCUCUUGAAACCGAGGUGACAUCUCUCCUCUCACGUUUCCACUUUGAUGCACAUGAGACAUGGCUACUGCCUCAUACGGACACAUUGUGCAAACUAAGGUACCAUGGAGAAGCUAAUAAGCAAGGAGAAGAAGAAGAGGAAGAUGGACGUGAAGAAGGAGAAGAAGAAGUGAUGAAGAAGAAGCUCCAGGCUCCGAACUACCGGCCAGGACCGGACGUCGACGAUCUCCAGGCUCCGGACGUCCGGCCCUCUCCGGAUGACCGACGCCACCACACCCGAGCCAAAUCUACGGAUUUCUGGAGCCCAACGGAUGACUGA
rnacentral:rRNA from 1 species